CGCUGGCGGCGUGCUAAUACAUGCAAGUCGAGCGAACAGACGAGGAGCUUGCUCCUCUGACGUUAGCGGCGGACGGGUGAGUAACACGUGGAUAACCUACCUAUAAGACUGGGAUAACUUCGGGAAACCGGAGCUAAUACCGGAUAAUAUAUUGAACCGCAUGGUUCAAUAGUGAAAGACGGUUUUGCUGUCACUUAUAGAUGGAUCCGCGCCGCAUUAGCUAGUUGGUAAGGUAACGGCUUACCAAGGCAACGAUGCGUAGCCGACCUGAGAGGGUGAUCGGCCACACUGGAACUGAGACACGGUCCAGACUCCUACGGGAGGCAGCAGUAGGGAAUCUUCCGCAAUGGACGAAAGCCUGACGGAGCAACGCCGCGUGAGUGAUGAAGGUCUUCGGAUCGUAAAACUCUGUUAUUAGGGAAGAACAAAUGUGUAAGUAACUAUGCACGUCUUGACGGUACCUAAUCAGAAAGCCACGGCUAACUACGUGCCAGCAGCCGCGGUAAUACGUAGGUGGCAAGCGUUAUCCGGAAUUAUUGGGCGUAAAGCGCGCGUAGGCGGUUUUUUAAGUCUGAUGUGAAAGCCCACGGCUCAACCGUGGAGGGUCAUUGGAAACUGGAAAACUUGAGUGCAGAAGAGGAAAGUGGAAUUCCAUGUGUAGCGGUGAAAUGCGCAGAGAUAUGGAGGAACACCAGUGGCGAAGGCGACUUUCUGGUCUGUAACUGACGCUGAUGUGCGAAAGCGUGGGGAUCAAACAGGAUUAGAUACCCUGGUAGUCCACGCCGUAAACGAUGAGUGCUAAGUGUUAGGGGGUUUCCGCCCCUUAGUGCUGCAGCUAACGCAUUAAGC
rnacentral:rRNA from 1 species